GAUGAACGCUAGCGGCAGGCUUAACACAUGCAAGUCGAGGGGCAGCACGUCUUCGGAUGGUGGCGACCGGCGCACGGGUGAGUAACGCGUAUGCAAUCUACCUUUUACAGGGGCAUAGCCCGGGGAAACCCGGAUUAAUAUCCUAUAGUACCAUUAUAUUGCAUUAUAUUAUGGUUAAAGUUUCGGCGGUAAAAGAUGAGCAUGCGUCCUAUUAGCUUGAUGGUAAGGUAACGGCUUACCAUGGCUAUGAUAGGUAGGGGUCCUGAGAGGGAGACCCCCCACACUGGUACUGAGACACGGACCAGACUCCUACGGGAGGCAGCAGUGAGGAAUAUUGGACAAUGGGCGCAAGCCUGAUCCAGCCAUGCCGCGUGCAGGAAGACGGCCCUAUGGGUUGUAAACUGCUUUUAUACGGGAAGAAACACCCCUUCGUGAAGGGACUUGACGGUACCGUAUGAAUAAGGAUCGGCUAACUCCGUGCCAGCAGCCGCGGUAAUACGGAGGAU
rnacentral:rRNA from 1 species